CUCGCCCUCACAACUCUCCUAUAAUGACUGUUGGUGUUUUCAUUCCACCAAAUACAAAGCAAACCUAAAGCAAUAGCUAUCUCUAUACAAGAUCACAAUCCUAGGAGAUAAAGAUGAGAUUUUAAAAAAUUCAGACUUGGCCCUAUAAAAUCAGCCAGAGAAACACAAAGAAGGGGGGAUAAAGAAAGAUGAAAGAGAUAUAUAAGGAAGAAAACCUAGAGAGUAGAGGAAAAGAACAAAAAAAAAAACAAAGAGGGGAAAAACAAAAAACAACAACAAAAACAGAAGCACGCUUGAAUAGAAAUGGAGAGAGAGCUAGAGAAGAUCCAAAGAAAAGAGGAGUAACAAACCUAAAACCAGAGAGAAGGACGACUAAAGAGAAACAGACGAAAUAGAAAUGGAAGGGAAGAAAGGAGCAUUGUCCAACCAUCAUCGCCUCAAGUCUUCGUCUCCAACAACAACUGAAGUAGGUAAGUUCUUAUUUUCCCCCAUUAUGCAAUUUUAAUUAGUUGUUUACUAUGCAAGCAUGCCUGAAUUAAUUCACGCGUGCCCACUAUUGCAAAGCUUGGUCAUUGGGUUGGGCUAGUGACCAAGCUUGAUAGGUUGGUUCAAGCCCAGCUUAUAUUGCUAGGCUAGAUCUAGUCCAUAAAAAACAAUAAAAAGAGAU
rnacentral:lncRNA from 1 species